GGCUCUGUGGUGCAAUGGAUAGUGCGUUGGACUUCUAAUUCAAAGGUUGUGGGUUCAAGUCCCACCAGAGUCA